rnacentral:lncRNA from 1 species
AAUUGAUUAAUUAAAAUGGACUUUUAAAAAGCGUUCUCAGUUUUUUUUUUAGAUGCAAACAGUGUUCAGUUUUUUAACUUUAUGUGUCCUCCAGGGUCAUGUGAUUUUGGCGGUGUCUCAGCCCCUGACGGACAGACAGAUUCAACACACCUUGUGGACAGAGACUAUGCAUCUUUCAUUCACAGCUGGGAACAUGCGAGAUUUGCACUCUGAUCUAGAGAUGGAACCCAGCAGCCCCACACGCCUUCUGAGGAACAUUGAAAGACAGAGUGCCCAGCUGACUCAGAUUGUAAACAGCCUGAUGCCAUUUUUGUCUGCCUCUCCUUCUUCAUCGCCUAUGCCUAAAGUACCUUGUAAUCGCUGGAGAGGUCAACAGAAAACAGCUUACAGUGGGAUGAAUCAUUCAGCCCAGCGGUAA